UGCACGCUCCUUAGAUCCAUUUCAUUCUUAAUAUGAAAUGCUUGAGUCAUAAGUGUGCUAGAGCAUAGUACCUCCACCCUGAGACCGAAAUGUGAUUUUUCUUGUGAAUUUCACUUGUCUUGGAGUGGGGAACAU